AUUUUAGAGGAAGGAGAAGUCGUAACAAGGUUUCUGUAGGUGAACCUGCAGAAGGAUCAUUUGCACAUGUGUAGCCAACUGCAUGCUAAUGAUAUUGUGGGCAACUGUAAGCAUGUAUUGCAAUGGACUUGCACUUGCCCUGGGCAGCAUGAUUUGUUUUUCAAGCAUGUGUGCUGUAGUGUGUGAUGUGUUUUGUAAACUGUUUGCAUUUCUCUAGUUGCUGCAACAAUUAUGUUUUGCAAGGAAUGUCUUAGCUCAAUAAAUGAUGAAGAAUGCAGCAAAAUGCAAUAUGCAUUGCGAAUUGCAGAAUUCCGUGAGCUAACAGAUGUUUGAAUGUUACUUGUACCUUUGGGAUAUUCUUGAAGGUUUGCUUGGUUUAAUGCAAAGUAGCUUUCAUAUACAUUUAAUGCUGAUUAGCAUUGUUGUGAACAAUAAAGGUCAAUGUUUUGCAUUGAACCUGGAUGUCAUACAGUUGUUUACAACCUAAACAUGGUUUCGUGGGGCAGACCUGUUUCGUCAUUUGAUGGUUGAUAUUGUAAAUGUGCACAACUGGGACAAGCUGAAGACUUGCAUAUGCUAAGCGUGAAGUGAAGCACAUAAACCUGCUGAAUUUAAGCAUAUAAGUAAGUGGUGGAAAUUAAACCAAUC
rnacentral:rRNA from 1 species